rnacentral:rRNA from 1 species
UUGCUACUUUGCUGACGAGCGGCGGACGGGUGAGUAAUGCUUGGGAACAUGCCUUGAGGUGGGGGACAACAGUUGGAAACGACUGCUAAUACCGCAUAAUGUCUACGGACCAAAGGGGGCUUCGGCUCUCGCCUUUAGAUUGGCCCAAGUGGGAUUAGCUAGUUGGUGAGGUAAUGGCUCACCAAGGCGACGAUCUCUAGCUGUUCUGAGAGGAAGAUCAGCCACACUGGGACUGAGACACGGCCCAGACUCCUACGGGAGGCAGCAGUGGGGAAUAUUGCACAAUGGGGGAAACCCUGAUGCAGCCAUGCCGCGUGUGUGAAGAAGGCCUUCGGGUUGUAAAGCACUUUCAGUUGUGAGGAAAAGUUAGUAGUUAAUACCUGCUAGCCGUGACGUUAACAACAGAAGAAGCACCGGCUAACUCCGUGCCAGCAGCCGCGGUAAUACGGAGGGUGCGAGCGUUAAUCGGAAUUACUGGGCGUAAAGCGCACGCAGGCGGUUUGUUAAGCUAGAUGUGAAAGCCCCGGGCUCAACCUGGGACGGUCAUUUAGAACUGGCAGACUAGAGUCUUGGAGAGGGGAGUGGAAUUCCAGGUGUAGCGGUGAAAUGCGUAGAUAUCUGGAGGAACAUCAGUGGCGAAGGCGACUCCC